rnacentral:rRNA from 1 species
GGCCAGACUCCUACGGGAGGCAGCAGUGGGGAAUAUUGCACAAUGGGGGAAACCCUGAUGCAGCGACGCCGCGUGAGUGAAGAAGUAUUUCGGUAUGUAAAGCUCUAUCAGCAGGGAAGAAGUUGACGGUACCUGAGUAAGAAGCCCCGGCUAACUACGUGCCAGCAGCCGCGGUAAUACGUAGGGGGCAAGCGUUAUCCGGAUUUACUGGGUGUAAAGGGAGCGUAGACGGCAGUGCAAGUCUGAAGUGAAAGCCCCGGGCUUAACCCGGGAACUGCUUUGGAAACUGUGCGGCUGGAGUGCUGGAGAGGUAAGCGGAAUUCCUAGUGUAGCGGUGAAAUGCGUAGAUAUUAGGAGGAACACCAGUGGCGAAGGCGGCUUACUGGACAGUAACUGACGUUGAGGCUCGAAAGCGUGGGGAGCAAACAGGAUUAGAUACCCGAGUAUGC